ensembl:lncRNA
AAAAAUACUCGUAUCAUUAUCCUCGAGCUUGCAAGAAACCAAAAAGGUGAUUGAUUGAUCGUGGAAAUUGUCCUCGACUUGAUGGGACUGGAGUUUGCUGAAAUCCUAAGCCCACCGCUAGCAACCCAUGACAGAGAGGGAAACUAGAGACGCCAGUAGGAUUUCGGCGAUGUUGGGUAACCACGGAACUUCGGAAAAAUCACUGCACAUCCUGGGUCCGCUUGCCAACGCGUUGACUUUACCCAUGAAAGCGUUUUUAAACACCCAAAUAGGCUACUAACCUUUUGGAUACAAUGUACACAGCCCGAUCACGAAUAACUCCCGCAGCUCCUGCUGGCUCCCGAUGACACGGAUUUGCUUGUCUGAAGAUCAUCCUAUAGAAAAUGAUAAAUGUAUGUGAACGGGCCUGUGCUCCGUAGCGUCGUGGUGUUUCUGCUGUUGGGUGUCUCCUACAGUAAGCGCAGGUGCAACUACACGGAUAUACUCAGCACGUACAGAGAACUAAUCUUCGUUGAACUUCAGAAUUUGAAUCUGACAGGCACUUUUGACACACCCAAAGAGAGGGACCAUUGUCCCUCAGGAAAGCUGCAGCACGUGUUGCGCUCCAUCCAUGGUAUGACGGAGCAAUUCCUGUGUCAGGGCUGGGAUCAGGAACACGGGCGGGGCAGCAGAGAGCAGUGGGCCAUGAAGAAGCCAGUGGAGAUGAUGGCAGUGCUGAUCAGACAGAACUGCAGGCACACUGACCUGGUGAGGAAACAGAAGAGAACAGCGCUGUGUGUGACUGCCCAGAGGACGAAGGGAAAGAACAGGAAGAGGAUGAGACUCAUCAGGGCACUGAUAAACUGUUGGCAGAAGCUGCAGAGUUUGUACACACCCACAAAAUAAUUUGAAAAAAAUAUGUUUUUAUUUUUUAUCAAAAUUGUUUCAAAAAAGCUUAUUUUGUAGAGUAGAAUGACAGUUUGUAUGUCAGGCAUAGGCCUCUGUUUAUGACCUUUUACUUCUUGUCUGUACAGUCCCACAUGUAUAAGCUAUAGGUCACCAUAGAUCAGGGAUGGGCCACUUUGAUGUGGGCGGGGGCCACAAAAAAAACGAACUGAUCAUGCUUACUAUAAGUUUAGAUAACUAGCCGCUAGACUAACUUGCCAAUCUAAAAAGGUUUACCUGACUUGGGCUAAUUAAGUGACUGCUGAUGCACAACCAACCACAUGUUGAAAUUGCACCUUGUGUAAUCUAUUAUUCUAACUCUCAACAGUAAAUUGAGACCCGACUGAGUUCCCCCCAUUAAUUAUGGUUGUUAGAGGAUGGUUUUACAAUGCAGUGAAGAUAUUUACUUGUAAUACCUUGGUGCACACACAUUUUAUAACUCUUAGCUAUCUCACAAUCCAGAUAUUGUUUUUGUGAAACCGAUAGAUACAGUUGUUGUUCUAUGAAAUGUAUUUAAGAUGCCCACUGAUAAAGGUUUCUUAAACUGCAUCAUUGGUUGUUUAUUCCUGUAAUGAUC